GGGGCUGUUUUGUUUCGACAAAGUAAUGAUUUUGUUAAUAGCAAGUAGUAGGGAUACUUUAAAUCCAAAAACGUUAAAUAAACGGAAAACAAAAUAAUUUUGCACCUGCUUUUGCCUAAUUAAGGUAUGCGGUGACUCUUUCUUGACUUUGUUUGCGAGUUAAGGUAAAGGGUUCAUAAAAGUAAACUAUAUCAUUUAUAUGUCUAUAUUAAAUGAUGAAAUUAAUAGACUUAGAAAAACAUUGGAUGUUGGAAAUCCAUAAAUGUUUUUUGAAAAUACAAAACCAACUAAACUUGUAGAAUAUUAAUGAGAUUGUACUUUGGACACGAGCUCAAAACUCGUCAGCUCCACCA
rnacentral:tmRNA from 1 species